rnacentral:rRNA from 1 species
UACGUAGGGUGCAAGCGUUGUCCGGAAUUAUUGGGCGUAAAGAGCGUGUAGGCGGCCAGGCAGGUCCGCUGUGAAAACUCGAGGCUCAACCUCGAGAGGUCGGUGGAAACCGUCUGGCUAGAGUCCGGAAGAGGAGAGUGGAAUUCCCGGUGUAGCGGUGAAAUGCGUAGAUAUCAGGAAGAACACCCGUGGCUAAGGCGGCUCUCUAGUACGGUACUGACGCUGAGACGCGAAAGCGUGGGGAGCGAACAGG